rnacentral:misc_RNA from 1 species
GAUGAAGAACGUAGCGAAAUGCGAUAAGUAAUGUGAAUUGCAGAAUUCAGUGAAUCAUCGAAUCUUUGAACGCACAUUGCGCCCCCUGGUAUUCCGGGGGACAUGCCUGUUCGAGCGUCAUUUCACCACUCAAGCCUCGCUUGGUAUUGGGCAACGCGGUCCGCCGCGUGCCUCAAAUCGACCGGCUGGGUCUUCUGUCCCCUAAGCGUUGUGGAAACUAUUCGCUAAAGGGUGUUCGGGAGGCUACGCCGUAAAACAACCCCAUUUCUAAGGUUGACCUCGGAUCAGGUAGGGAUACCCGCUGAACUUAAGCAUAUCAAUAAGCGGAGGA